rnacentral:rRNA from 1 species
GAUGAACGCUGGCGGCGUGCCUAAUACAUGCAAGUCGAGCGAACGGACGAGAAGCUUGCUUCUCUGAUGUUAGCGGCGGACGGGUGAGUAACACGUGGAUAACCUACCUAUAAGACUGGGAUAACUUCGGGAAACCGUAGCUAAUACCGGAUAAUAUUUUGAACCGCAUGGUUCAAAAGUGAAAGACGGUCUUGCUGUCACUUAUAGAUGGAUCCGCGCUGCAUUAGCUAGUUUGUAAGGUAACGGCUUACCAAGGCAACGAUGCAUAGCCGACCUGAGAGGGUGAUCGGCCACCCUGGAACUGAGACACGGUCCAGACUCCUACGGGAGGCAGCAGUAGGGAAUCUUCCGCAAUGGGCGAAAGCCUGACGGAGCAACGCCGCGUGAGUGAUGAAGGUCUUCGGAUCGUAAAACUCUGUUAUUAGGGAAGAACAUAUGUGUAAGUAACUGUGCACAUCUUGACGGUACCUAAUCAGAAAGCCACGGCUAACUACGUG